GGGCCGGGCACUGCGGUAACCGCAGCCGCUGGGGAGGGGGCGCGGCGGCCGCGGGUCACGUGGGGCGCACGGCGGGUCACGUGGGCGCGCGGCCGCGCGGCGCCAUUAGAGGCGUCAGGUGACGGGCGGGAAAUGGAGCCGGGCCCGGCCGCCCUCAGCGCCCUCCGCCCCUCAGCGCCCUCCGCUCCCUCAGCCCGCUCCGCCCUGCCCUGCCCUGCCCUGCACAGCUCGGGCACUGCCACAAGCGCGACUUCGUUUGUGACGCUUCCCGGCUUCACACAGUUUCGCAAACUCUUUUUAGCAUGAUGUUUUUACAUGUAAUGACGUUUUCCUGUUCGCUGCUUCCCGUAUAAAUGUAAAUAAACUUUGUAGGGGAGGUGAAAUCUCAGCUGAAGGACUUCAUGCACAGGGAUCUUAACUCCAGUUGUGCCUUUUCUCAGCAGUUCUUUAAUGACCCUGACAGAAGUACUAACCCUGGUUACUACUGACAUUUUCUCUGCCGGCAUCUCCGCUGCUUCUCCUCUGUCCCCACCCAUGGCCCUGACGACGUCUCUCAUCUCCCAACUGGCCGAUGUCAUUUCUGGCAUCCCAUCUUCUUCUGGCCCUUCCUGCUCCGACCUGGCUUCCUUUGCCAUCGGCCGAGCCACCUCAGUGUUGCGGAGCCGCUCCCAGCGCCGCGAUCCCCGGUGCGCUCCGGGCCAGCUGUGCCCGGGGCGGGGAGCGCAGAGCGGCUCUGGCUGCACCCCGGCUGUCCCCAGGGCUCCAGGUGCCACCCAGCCCCGGCUGGUGGAGGGAGAGCUGUCAGGGACAAGCACCAAGAUCUAACAAACUCGCCCCUGUCUUUAACGGGCAUUCGACUCUACAGCUCGUGGUUUGUGUAUUUGAGUGGGAUAAUGCUUCUGAUGUAUUAAUUUUUACAUGUGUAUGAUGGUAUUUGUUUCACGAUGUGUUCUGCCCUUCAGAAACACAGCAUUCUUUUUCUCAGAAAUUUCAGACACCAGUAAAUGCACGUGUUUCCAUUUUCUGAAACCAAGUACAGUAUUAAAGGUUCUUUUAACUCUAAAAAUGAAAAUUUGCUUACAGUUCUGUUACAUACAUAUAUAACUCUGUCAUUAGCAAAUGCAAAACAAAUUAUGGAGAAUGUAGCUUAAUCACAGCCUGCCAUACUAAAUUUAAUUAAAAACUGGUGUGUAUCUAAAUUAUUUUCUACCUUCAUUGGAUGUGUCUGAUCAAAAAGGAAACCAACCAGGCAGGCGAGGAAGUUGUGGAAGGACUGUCAGCUCUUUUGAGCACUGUGUUCAAAUAUAUGUCUAAUCCAAUUAAACCCGAGAAAGUGGCUGUGGCAGAACUCGGUGCAGUGUUUCAGUGAAGCUCUGCAGUUGCUGAGAUAGGCAGAGCAGAUGGGAGUGGUAUCAAUCAGUUUUCAGCCAUUACCUGCACUUAAUGUUGGAUCUUUUGCCUUAAUAAGGUGACAUAAAAGCCUCGAUUUUGGAAAGCACAUAAACGUGCUUUAAGAAAAUUGAGUUCCAUGAUCAAAAUGAAGGGGGAGAAGAGGUGAUACUUACUAAAAAAUGAUAGCAGAUAAUGAGAAGCAGAAGGAAAAAACCUUUUUAUUUUGAACAGAAAUCAAAGCACUGCUGAAAAGAGUUUGUGUAAGCAGAAACAAGAAUAUUAAGAAAAAGCUAAGCCAUUAGCUAAGUCAGUGUAAAUACGUCAUGGUUUGGACUGUCUCCAUCUUCAGUCAAGUUCAGGAGUCACAUGAAUGAGUUCAUCCUACAAUCAGGAUCUAGAAAUUCCCUGCACUGUUACUCGUUUCUGCUUUAACUGUUAAUUCUUGUUCUGUAAAUAGGUCUCUUGAAAAGGGAACAUUGUACCACAGGGCCCCUGAGCCCUGGGAUCAGCAGUGCUGGGUCAGACUGAGGACAAACACCAUGGAGCUGCCCUAUGGUGUCCCUCUGUAGUGGGGGUGGGAGGCAUCUCAGAUCUUUGUGCUAAUUUAAAACUGAAGCCACAUCUCCUAAAAUCAUCUUAAUUAUACCGGCUGUGUGAUUUGCAGCCAUGGCUUUCUUGGUAGCUGUUGUACAAGUAUGUCAGCAUGAACCUGAACCUCCCCAUCAUCCCAACCAAACACUGGCAUUAAGUACAUACAGUUUUACCAGAAUUAUUUUAAAAGACCUCAAGCCUUUGUGUGGGGGUGAUGAGAGAGAGAAAUAAGACAUGUUAAAAUGUUUUAUAAAGAUAUAUUUUAACUUCUAAGGCACUCAGGAACCAUGGUGAUGGUUCUUGAAAUUGCUUAGAUAUGAGCUCUGAUCCACAGGGAACUAUCCUAAGAUUCAGAAAGAGCGUCAGCUGGUAAUAACUUCUAGUCAGUACCUACCUGGGCUUGACUGAACAGGUGACACACAUCAGAAAUCCCUUGAGACUCAUCUUCAUGUGAAUGACCACUGCUUUUGCAGUGUAAAGUGACCUUAAUGAAAAUGAGGCUCUUGCUGUAAUCUCGCACUGCUGGGAGGUUAAAAACACUCUCUCAUCCACACUGCUGGGCCUUGGUGCCAGAAGAAAUUUACUUUCCUCCCCAGUAUUUCCUUUUUUCUGCAUUCAACAUUCUGGUGGACUUUGCAUGGAGCUUAGACACCAUGGAGUUAAGAUGAGUAAACAGAUUGCUGUGGUUGUUCUGUGCAUGCCAAGGGGAGCACAAAAGAUUAUUAAUUGCAGAAUGAUUCUGUCAGUAACAGCCUUGAUCCUGCACUGGGUAUCAUUCUGUCACUGUCAGAACCUGUCACUGUUGUAGGAGAUAUCUUGUAUUAUCUAUCAUGUUCUGGUUAGUUUUGCUGUUCACAAAUACAGUUUGAAAACACAGUUGCAAUUUCAAAUCAUUUUCAUAUUCUUUAGUUUUGAACAAUUAGUUUACAAUCAUACUCUAAAUAUUUUUAAAGGGAUCUAUUUUACAGCAACCUUAAAAGCUUAUCAUAUAAAUCUAGCUAUUUUAAUUAAUAUACUAAGAUUUUGUAGCUGUCUGUAUAAAAUUAAGUUGCUUUUAUUUUUCAACUGCAGUUGUAGCAGUAUCCAAGCACUGUCCUGCAGUUCAGUAAUGGAAAUUUCCCAGCCUCAAAGCACACUCUGUCUCAGUCAGCUGCAAUAAAACUCUGAGUGAUUUCAA